GCGUGCUUUUAUCAUACCAAAAACCGGCCGCGUCUUCGGGCGCGUUCGCCUUGGUGACUCUGGAUAACUUUGCGGAUCGCACGGUCUAGCACCGGCGACGGAUCAUUCAAGUGUCUGCCCUAUCAACUUUCGUCGGUACGGUAUUUGCCUACCGAGGUUCUUACGGGUGACGGGGAAUCAGGGUUCGAUUCCGGAGAGGGAGCCUGAGAAACGGCUACCACAUCCAAGGAAGGCAGCAGGCGCGCAAAUUACCCAUUCCCGACGCGGGGAGGUAGUGACGAAAAAUAACAAUGCAGGACUCGUUCGAGGCCCUGUAAUUGGAAUGAGUACACUUUAAAAGCUUUAACGAGUAUCCAUUGGAGGGCAAGUCUGGUGCCAGCAGCCGCGGUAAUUCCAGCUCCAAAAGUAUAUAUUUAAGUUGUUGCGGUUAAAAAGCUCGUAGUUGGAUUUUGGGCGCAGGCGGCCGGUCCGUCGCAAGGCGUGUACUGGACGUCCUGGCCUUCCCUCCGGUUCUCCGCCGGUGCUCUUGACUGAGUGUCGGCGGCGGCCGGAACGUUUACUUUGAAAAAAUAGAGUGUUCAAAGCAGGCUCUCGAGCCUGGAUAAUGGUGCAUGGAAUAAUGGAAUAGGACCUCGGUUCUAUUUUGUUGGUUUUCGGAGCGCGAGGUAAUGAUUAAGAGGGACAGACGGGGGCAUUCGUACUGUGCCGUUAGAGGUGAAAUUCUUGGAUCGGCGCAAGACGAACGACUGCGAAAGCAUUUGCCAAGAAUGUUUUCUUUAAUCAAGAGCGAAAGUCAGAGGUUCGAAGACGAUCAGAUACCGUCCUAGUUCUGACUAUAAACGAUGCCAACUAGCGAUCGGGGGGCGUUACAUUGACGACCCCUCCGGCAGCUUACGGGAAACCAAAGUCUUUGGGUUCCGGGGGAAGUAUGGUUGCAAAGCUGAAACUUAAAGGAAUUGACGGAAGGGCACCACCAGGAGUGGAGCCUGCGGCUUAAUUUGACUCAACACGGGAAAUCUCACCCGGCCCGGACACAGUGAGGAUUGACAGAUUGAGAGCUCUUUCUUGAUUCU
rnacentral:rRNA from 1 species